rnacentral:rRNA from 1 species
UCAAGCGAAUAAGGGCUUAAGUUGGAUAUCUUGGCAUUCAGAAGCGAUGAAGGGCGCGUCUACCGGCGAAACGCUUCGGGGAGCUGGAAGUAAGCAUUGAUCCGGAGGUACCCGAAUGAGGAAACUCUUAAUACUACUUGCUCAAUCUAUAGGCAAGUAAGAGCGAACCUGGCGAAUUGAAACAUCUUAGUAGCCAGAGGAAAAGAAAGCAAAAGCGAUUCCCAUAGUAGCGGCGAGCGAAAAGGGACCAGCCCAAACUAUUUAAUUUAAAUAGGGUUGUGGGACAGCAUACAAAAGAUUAGAAAAGGUUAGGUGAAGCAUCUGGAAUGUUGCAUCAUAGAAGGUGAAAAUCCUGUAACCGAAAACUUUAACUACUUAGCUGUAUCCCAAGUAGCAUGGGACACGUGAAACCCCGUGUGAAUCUGCGAGGACCACCUCGUAAGGCUAAAUAUUCCUGAAUGACCGAUAGUGAAAUAGUACCGUGAGGGAAAGAUGAAAAGAACCCCGGAAGGGGAGUGAAAUAGAACAUGAAAGCUUAAGCUUACAAGCAGUGGGAGAACGACUAAACGUUUGACCUCGUACCUGUUGAAGAAUGAGCCGGCGACUUGUAGGUAGUGGCAGGUUAAGGUAGAAAAUACUGGAGCCAUAGUGAAAGCGAGCCUGAAUAGGGCGUUAGUCACUGUUUACAGACCCGAACCCGGAUGAUCUAACCAUGGCCAGUGUGAAGCUUAGGUAACACUAAGUGGAGGCGCGAACCGACUGAUGUUGAAAAAUCAGCGGAUGAGUUGUGGUUAGGGGUGAAAUGCCAAUCGAAUCCGGAGCUAGCUGGUUCUCCCCGAAAUGCGUUUAGGCGCAGCGGUUAACGCUAUAGCUUAGGGGUAAAGCACUGUUUCGGUGCGGGCUGCUAACGCGGUACCAAAUCGAUGCAAACUCUGAAUACUAAGUGUGUAGUUAACCAGUAAGACUGUGGGGGAUAAGCUCCAUUGUCAAGAGGGAAACAGCCCAGACCACCAGCUAAGGCCCCCAAAUAAUUACUAAGUGGCAAAGGAUGUGGGAACACUGAGACAAUCAGGAGGUUCGCCUAGAAGCAGCUAUCCUUUAAAGAGUGCGUAAUAGCUCACUGAUCAAGUGCACCUGCGCCGAAAAUGACUGGGACUAAGUAAUUUGCCGAAGCUGUGGGAUUUUUAAUAAUCGGUAGGGGAGCGUUCCACCUUAGAUAGAAGCAUUAGCGUAAGCGGAUGUGGACGAAGUGGAAGUGAGAAUGUCGGCUUGAGUAGCGAAAACAUUGGUGAGAAUCCAAUGCCCCGAAAACCUAAGGUUUCCUCCGGAAGGCUCGUCCGCGGAGGGUGAGUCAGGACCUAAGGUGAGGCCGAAAGGCGUAACUAAUGGACAACGGGUUAAUAUUCCUGUACCAUUUAUUACUGAUAUCGAGGGACGGAGAAGGCUAAACCAUCCGGAUGUUGGUUACCGGUUUAAGCGUUAAAGGUGUUGAGAAACGGAGAAAACGUUUUGAGCUAAGGCGUGAAUACGAGAUACUAAGGUAUCGAAGUGGUUGAAGUCAUACUUCCAAGAAAAGCUCGUAAAUAUCAUAAGUAAUAAAUGCCUGUACCUUAAACCGACACAGGUAGGUAGGUAGAGUAUACCAAGGGGCGCGAGAUAACUCUCUCUAAGGAACUCGGCAAAAUAACCUCGUAACUUCGGAAGAAGAGGUACCCUCGCAAGAGGGUUGCAAUAACCAGACCCUGGCGACUGUUUACCAAAAACACAGGUCUCCGCGAAUUCGUAAGAUUAAGUAUGGAGGCUGACGCCUGCCCAGUGCCGGAAGGUUAAAGAAGUUGGUCAAUCCUCGGAUGAAGCUGGCGACUGAAGCCCCGGUGAACGGCGGCCGUAACAAUAACGGUCCUAAGGUAGCGAA